UCGAUAGCCCCACACAUUCACAAAAACUUCAGCUGUGAUUGAAACUGGGAACCCAUUCCAUGGCUCAUUCUUAGCUUCCACUGAAAAUUGGUGGAGACCAUCAGUAGCAUUACAAAGUGUCGCCAGAACAUAGCGGCACGUACCCUGGAAGUCAUACGCCUUGCCAUCAAAGGUGAGGUAGUGGGGGUCACCAGAGGCAGAGCAGGUGCCGUGAGGGUUGGGAUGGCAACCAAA